GCAGUGUUGUUACGCAACGACGGCGUGAAUUUAUUGGCCCAUGUGAGAGGGGGGGACACCGGACCGCCCACUUGAGACGGCAUCGUGCGCGCGCGGCCACGCGCUCGUGGAACAGAGGUCAGCAGAUUCAAGGAUGUAGCCGCACCUUUUCGACCCUCUGCGUGCCAGGACAACCCACAGCAAUCUUACGGGUCGACCCCCAUACGGGUGCAUGUGAGUAAGGCCUUAGCUUUGCUGGUUCCUCCCUAAGCAUUUGGCUGCAGCUGCAGGAAUUAUAUCUGAAGCCUUUGAUGCAGCCUCUAAGGAUUGCCAACACUCAGCCAUUUUUUAGCCAGCUCUCAGUCAGAAGAGUUCUCUGGGCUCCCCAGGACCUGGCGGAGAACCAGCUGAGAUUUGAGCGACUCAUGCAUGAAGCAGCUGGCAGUUUUAACUGGCUGCACUGGUAGGAGAUUGAAGAAAAUGUUUUCUGGGUCAUGAGGGAGAAAAAAAGACGGGGAAGCAUAAGUUAGCAUAAUGAAUGGCAUCCUGUGUGUUUUUUGGCAAUCUUUGUGAGUUUUUCCUCAAGUUCCUCUGGUCGCCUAGCCUGCAUUUGAUUUGCAUCGCUCCAGUUUUUUCUUUAUUCUUCAAAUAAAAUUGCUUUCUUUCAUCACUUAGCUGCACUUGUGCUUCUAAUAAAAUGUUUUACUUGUUUAAACAGUAUUCUUGCAUUCUCUCAUAUAAAGGUGGCAGGGAAUUGUAGUAAUUUCAGUGUUGACUGAGUACUUUGCCUGUUAGCUCCAUGCGAUCAAAAUUACUUAAGUGAUUUAAGGACCUGAGGUUCUUUUGGAGACUCCAUAGUCUGAAACUGAGACAUUUGAGUCACAACCAACCCUCUGCAAUCCAGUCCACACUGAAGCCGUCCCUUAAGUCACCUGCACUAAUCCUUAGAAUAAAUAAACCAUGUGCACAGCAGCGCAGCUAGCCUUUGCUAUUUUCAGCGUCCUUGCCCCCCCAUCCUUCUCUUAGAGUCCAAGAUGUCCUCACAGGAACCGUCGAACUGUCUCCACCUCGAUGGCAGUCUCUGGUAUCAUGAAGAUGCUGCCAGCCUGAACCAAAGAGGGUUCAUUUCAAGUCAUUUGCAUUGUCAUGUUGGAGUGGUUGAUGUGCAGAUACUGCUUGGAAGGAGGCAGAGUGCUUUAAAAUAGAUGUUGCACUCCAGCUCUCCUGCUGUGAGGUUGAGUCUCACUGCUGACAGACGGCCUUUAUUCUGUUAUGAGCUCUGUGCUGGGGCAAUGUGAAAACUCUUUCCAGUCAGUGCAUGGAGAUGGUCAGCACUAAAUACUACAUGUUCAGCACGAAAAUUACUUUGAUCCCCUGCGACCAUCUGCACUAGUUCAUCACUGUGCUGUUGUUAAAGUUUAGUUUCGCUUUGAAUCAUGACGUUUCUUUUGGAACUUGGGCUCUGAAUUUGGGGAGUUGAACAGGAGUGUCAUGGGAACAUGGAGAACAAAGAGGAGGGCAUGUGGAGGAGUGAUGUAUAGAAAGGAAAGGUAAGAAACAGGGCCCUAAGAAAAGGAGAGAGCAUGGCAUGAAAACACAAUGAGAAACGUCCCGCUCAUGGGAACCGAUGGGAAAAAUGCUCUGUGCUGCAGUUGUAAUGAAGCAAGAAUAAAAGAAAAAAAAA